GUUAUCCGGAUUUAUUGGGCGUAAAGGGCUCGUAGGCGGCUCGUCGCGUCCGGUGUGAAAGUCCAUCGCUUAACGGUGGAUCUGCGCCGGGUACGGGCGGGCUGGAGUGCGGUAGGGGAGACUGGAAUUCCCGGUGUAACGGUGGAAUGUGUAGAUAUCGGGAAGAACACCGAUGGCGAAGGCAGGUCUCUGGGCCGUCACUGACGCUGAGGAGCGAAAGCGUGGGGAGCGAACAGGAUUAGAUACCCUGGUAGUCCACGCCGUAAACGGUGGACGCUGGAUGUGGGGCACGUUCCACGUGUUCCGUGUCGGAGCUAACGCGUUAACGCGUCCCGCCUGGGGAGUACGGCCGCAAGGCUAAAACUCAAAGAAAUUGACGGGGGCCCGCACCAGCGGCGGAGCAUGCGGAUUAAUUC
rnacentral:rRNA from 1 species